rnacentral:rRNA from 1 species
GUUUACAUUGCAAGUCGAACGGAAACGAAAAUAGCUUGCUAUUUGGCGUCGAGUGGCGAACGGGUGAGUAACGCGUAGGAAUCUACCCAGUAGAGGGGGAUAGCCCGAAGAAAUUCGGAUUAAUACCGCAUAAUCUCUACGGAGUAAAGAAGGCCUCUUUACAAUGCUUUUACUAUUGGAUGAGCCUGCGUUAGAUUAGUUAGUUGGUAGGGUAAAAGCCUACCAAGGCGACGAUCUAUAGCUGGUUUUACGAGAAUGAUCAGCCACACUGGAACUGAGACACGGUCCAGACUCCUACGGGAGGCAGCAGUGAAGAAUAUUGGACAAUGGGGGAAACCCUGAUCCAGCAAUGUUGCGUGUGUGAAGAAGGUCCGAGGAUUGUAAAGCACUUUCAGUAAGCAAGAAAAAUGUAAAUCUAAUAGAUUUGCAUGUUGACCACUUAUAGAAGAAGCACCGGCUAACUCCGUGCCAGCAGCCGCGGUAAUACGGAGGGUGCGAGCGUUAAUCGGAAUUACUGGGCGUAAAGGGUAAGUAGGCGGUUUAUAAAGUCACAUGUGAAAGCCCUAGGCUUAACCUAGGA